rnacentral:rRNA from 1 species
UACGUAGGCAGCGAGCGUUGUUCGGAUUCAUUGGGCGUAAAGGGUGCGUAGGCGGCGCGGUAAGUCGGGUGUGAAAUCUCGGAGCUUAACUCCGAAACUGCAUUCGAUACUGCCGUGCUUGAGGACUGGAGAGGAGACUGGAAUUUACGGUGUAGCGGUGAAAUGCGUAGAUAUCGUAAGGAAGACCAGUGGCGAAGGCGGGUCUCUGGGCCUUACCUGACGCUGAGGAGCGAAAGCGUGGGGAGCGAACAGG